rnacentral:rRNA from 1 species
AUUGAACGCUGGCGGCAGGCCUAACACAUGCAAGUCGAGCGGAUGAAGGGAGCUUGCUCCUGGAUUCAGCGGCGGACGGGUGAGUAAUGCCUAGGAAUCUGCCUGGUAGUGGGGGAUAACGUCCGGAAACGGGCGCUAAUACCGCAUACGUCCUGAGGGAGAAAGUGGGGGAUCUUCGGACCUCGCGCUAUCAGAUGAGCCUAGGUCGGAUUAGCUAGUUGGUGGGGUAAAGGCCUACCAAGGCGACGAUCCGUAACUGGUCUGAGAGGAUGAUCAGUCACACUGGAACUGAGACACGGUCCAGACUCCUACGGGAGGCAGCAGUGGGGAACAUUGGACAAUGGGCGAAAGCCUGAUCCAGCCAUGCCGCGUGUGUGAAGAAGGUCUUCGGAUUGUAAAGCACUUUAAGUUGGGAGGAAGGGCAGUAAGUUAAUACCUUGCUGUUUUGACGUUACCAACAGAAUAAGCACCGGCUAACUUCGUG